AGUUACAAAUUUUGAAAUUCUUUCCCUCUUAUUUUAAAUUGUGGGAAGUUACUUAAGCCCAAUUAAAUCUGAAAUUAAAAUUCAGAUUUAAUUGAAUUUCUUACUUAAACUUGGGCCCCACUCUCAUAACUCCUAAAUCUCUCCCUCUCCUCCUUAUUGGGCCGGCCACUCUUAGUGGGCCUCUUUCUCCUCCCAAAUGACAUAUGAACACCACAAAUUCAGCUCAAAGCUUCUCCCCAUUGCCGCCCCUCUCUCCCUCCUUGGAUUAAUUUGAAAUUCCAAUUAAAUCCCUCUCCUAAACCACUAAAAUCUGAACUUGAUUUCAGAUUUCCUGCAUUUGCCUCUUAGCCCCCACCAUAGCCGUCAAGGAAGAAAGGAUAAGACAUUAGAUGCUCACUGGUCAUCCCAUGGACUACUCGCCAACGGCUAUCGCUCCAACGGACUACGCUUUUGUGCGCCAUUUGUCUCCUAGUGGCAUCGCUCGGUUGAUCUCAAUCUUCCUCCAUUAAAGUGCCACCAACAGGAGAGUGAGUGAGAGACCCAAGGUGAAAAGUUCUAUUUGUUAAUUGUGGAUUAUUGUUUCUCCCCAUAGCAUUACUCUUUAAUUCUAUGUUGUCAAUUUGAUAUAUUCCUGUUAAUCUAGUUAUAACCGCAUGCCUUACUUAAUUUUGAAUUGAUAAUUCUGAAAACCUAACUUGGGUAAGCAUUAGUUCUAUAACUAGCAAAGCUUCAAAAUCUUAUAUUAAAAUCCCCAAGCAGUUCUUGUUUCCAUGCAUUACGUUUCACAUCAUCUUGGUAUCAGAGCAGGACGGGCGGGGCUCACGCCUGACGUCGCAUUAUACACGGAGAGGCGGACGGCGAGGACGGCGAGGAUGGCGAGGCCGGGUUGACGAACGAACUGAGCGUCGGCGGUGUAGAGCUAGCCUAGGGUUUGGAUUUUAGACUGAGCAUCGAUGGCGGGGCCAUGGGAGAGGCGGAUCGCUAGGAUGGGUUGACUCGCCAUUGCGGGAAGCCGAGAAGCAGGAUUUUCUAUUUUGUUUACAGCGGAGGUUAGGGUCUGGUCGGUUUCAGGUCAUUAUCGGGUUUUCGGGUCAACUUGUAUCCGAUACGAUUUUUGAAAUGGGUCAAUUUGCUGAAACCUAACCCGACCUAUUUGACAAACGAGUUGAUCUUAACCCCGAAUUUUAGGGACAGGUUCGGGUCGUGUCAAAUAUUGCCACCCCUAAUAAAUUCUUCUAUUGCAUUAUAAUUCUUAAAUAAAAAAUUACAAACUUUGCAUUCUAUUUUGUAUUUUCUGAUAAUGUUGCAUUACAAUGUUAUAUAUAACCAAAUCAAAUUCUUAUUUCUUAAUAUAUGACACUAGACAAUCAUUGAUUCAGUCAUCAUCCAUUUUAUUGUCUAAUUGAUGUUUGACAAUUUUCAUUCCAAAAAAAUGCUUGCUUCACUUUAGCAGUGACAACUGAUAAAAUUAACAUCAAGACAAUAAGCUUGUAUACUAAGGAAUACACAACAUUUUUCUUAACCUUAAUAAGUUAUUUUACAAGAUCAACAAUGCUACCCAAAGAUGAGAACUCUUCGUUUGUAUGCAUGUUAAGUAUAUAUGUGGAUAGUUGGUGCUUUAGAGCCAUAAGUUCAACCAUAGAAAAAUCUGUUGAAUCUAGCUCUGUAAGCCGAAUUAAUUUCCCCUUAUUGUAAACAAAAAAAUGAGUUAUUUGGAGUUAGUCAUGAAACACGAAGAAACAAUUCAGUAAUAGUUCAGAGAAUCUAUUAUUUAGCACUUAAAAUUACAUAUCAAUAACAAUGUAAAAAAAUUCUCACGAUAAUGAUGCAAAUUUGUAAUUUUCUUAUUUCCGCGUAUUGAUUGUUGGCGAGCCUUGAAUGUAGAAUACAUAUUAGGGACAUCAAAUUUAAAAACAUUGCAAAAAUGUGAUACUUUAUCCAGUAAAUGAUCCCAUCAAUUCUCCCUCAUUAUAUGUAAUUAUUGUUUAGAGACUUGCACUAAUUCAUUGCAUUCAUAAUAUCUUUAUAUCAAUGUAUAUACGUUCUUUCCUCUUUAAAUAACGUUUCAUUUAUUUUAUCCUAGAAAGAAAUUUAAGACCAAGGAAUAUCAUCCGUCAAUAAAAAAAUCACAUCAAAAUCAAUUCAUUAUUAUAUUAACAAAUAUAUGUUAUCUGCCAAUUAAAAAAAAAAUAGAUUUGAAGGGAGAAAAGAGUUUCUGUUUUAAUCAAUUCUAAUCACUUAGUUCAAAACACACUAGUGUCGACUUCAAUUAUGUUCUAAUUAAUUUUAAUCAAUGAUUAGUACUUAUAAAUGAUGCAAUGAAAUUAGUGCAAGUCUUCAAACAUAAUUAUAUAUGAUGAGGGUGUAUGGAUGAGAUUCUUUACUGGAUAAAGUAUCAUAUUUUUAUAGUAUUUCUUAAGAUGAUGUUCCUAAUAUGAGUUAUACAUUCAAGACUCACCGACAAUCAGCACACAUAAAUGAGAAGUAUAAAUUUGCAUCAUUAUCGUGUGAAUUUCUUUUACACUUUUAUUGAUAUGCACCUUCAAGAGCUGAGUAAUAGAUUCUUUGAAGCUACUAUUGAGCUAUUUCUUUGUGUUUUGUGUCUAACUUUUUGCAAUUUAUUUUCUGCUUGUGAUAAGGGGAAAUUAAUUCGGCUUAUAGAUCAAUAUUCAGUAAAUUUUUCUGUAGUUGAACUUGUGGCUCUAGAGUAUCAGCUAUUUACAUAUAUUCUUCAUAUCCGUACAAGCAAGGAGUUCUCAUCUUUGGGUAGCAUUGCUGAUAUUGUAAAAUAAUUUAUUAAGGUUAAGAAAGAUGUUGUGUAUCACUUAGUUUACACGCUUAUUAUCUUGGCAUUAACUUUGCAGUUGACACUUUUACAGUGGAGUGAGCUUUUUUUGAAAUGAAAAUUGUUAAAUAUAUAUUACAUAGUAAAAUGGUGAUGACUUGCUCAUUGAUUUUCUAGUGCCAUAUAUUGAGAAAGAAGUAUUUGAUUCGAUUUCAAAUGUAGUAAUGCAACAUUAUAAAAAAAUACAAAAUAGAAUGCAAAGUUCAUAGUUUUUUAUUUAAUAAUUAUAAUGAAAUAUAUUUUUUUUAAUUUUGUCUUAUAUAUUUUUUAUUUUUGUUUUAAGUUUGCCCCCCUAAGAUAUAAGUCUGGUUUCGCCCCUAUAUGGAUGAUUUCUUUGAUUGGGAAACUUUGUUUGAUGGGCUUCAAAAUAGAUAUGCUAAAUUUAAAUUAAUUAUGCAACCUAAAAUACGAUUGAUAACGAUAUAAAAACAAAGAGAAAGACUUGGUAAAGAACCUUUAUUAUUUGGGUAGAAGUGAAAGAAAAUAUAUGAAUAAAUUUGAAGAGUUAUUAAUGCGUUAUGAAAUAUUAAGAACUUCUAAAACAAGGAUUUCUUGGUUGUCAUUAGAUUGAGGUUUGAUAUUAAAAUGAAAAUGACAAAAAUAUAUCAUACCCAUUGAAUAUGUUUUUUUAAGUGCCUUACAUUUUGAACAAAUUUU